GAUAUAGUCCAUGCCUUAUGGCGACAUAG
rnacentral:autocatalytically_spliced_intron from 1 species